AUAACCGCUGAAAGCAUCUAAGCGGGAAGCCCGCUCCAAGAUAAGUAUUCCCUGGGCUUUUCGAAGCCCGUGACCCCCCAUGUAGAACACGUGGUCGAUAGGCCGGACGUGGAAGCCCCGCGAGGGGUGGAGCCGACCGGUACUAACGGGGAAGCGCGACACACAC
rnacentral:ncRNA from 1 species